rnacentral:rRNA from 1 species
AUGAACGCUGGCGGCGUGCCUCAUACAUGCCAGUCGAGCGCACGGACGAGAAGCUUGCUUUUCUGAUGUUAGCGGCGGACGGGUGAGUAACACGUGGAUAACCUACCUAUAAGACUGGGAUAACUUCGGGAAACCGGAGCUAAUACCGGAUAAUAUUUUGAACCGCAUGGUUCAAAAGUGAAAGACGGUCUUGCUGUCACUUAUAGAUGGAUCCGCGCUGCAUUAGCUAGUUGGUAAGGUAACGGCUUACCAAGGCAACGAUGCAUAGCCGACCUGAGAGGGUGAUCGGCCACACUGGAACUGAGACACGGUCCAGACUCCUACGGGAGGCAGCAGUAGGGAAUCUUCCGCAAUGGGCGAAAGCCUGACGGAGCAACGCCGCGUGAGUGAUGAAGGUCUUCGGAUCGUAAAACUCUGUUAUUAGGGAAGAACAUAUGUGUAAGUAACUGUGCACAUCUUGACGGUACCUAAUCAGAAAGCCACGGCUAACUACGUG